AUUGAGAGUUUGAUCCUGGCUCAGGAUGAACGCUAGCUACAGGCUUAACACAUGCAAGUCGAGGGGCAUCGAGAUUGAAGCUUGCUUCAAUUGUCGGCGACCGGCGCACGGGUGAGUAACACGUAUCCAACCUGCCAUUCACUCUCGGAUAGCCUUCUGAAAGGAAGAUUAAUACGAGAUGGUAUCAGGAAUCAGCAUUUUUUCUUGAUUAAAGAAUUUCGGUGGAUGAUGGGGAUGCGUUCCAUUAGGCAGUUGGCGGGGUAACGGCCCACCAAACCUACGAUGGAUAGGGGUUCUGAGAGGAAGGUCCCCCACAUUGGAACUGAGACACGGUCCAAACUCCUACGGGAGGCAGCAGUGAGGAAUAUUGGUCAAUGGACGAGAGUCUGAACCAGCCAAGUAGCGUGAAGGAUGACUGCCCUAUGGGUUGUAAACUUCUUUUAUACGGGAAUAAAGUUCACUACGUGUAGUGUUUUGUAUGUACCGUAUGAAUAAGGAUCGGCUAACUCCGUGCCAGCAGCCGCGGUAAUACGGAGGAUCCGAGCGUUAUCCGGAUUUAUUGGGUUUAAAGGGAGCGUAGAUGGGUGUUUAAGUCAGUUGUGAAAGUUUGCGGCUCAACCGUAAAAUUGCAGUUGAUACUGGACGCCUUGAGUGCAGUUGAGGUAGGCGGAAUUCGUGGUGUAGCGGUGAAAUGCUUAGAUAUCACGAAGAACUCCGAUUGCGAAGGCAGCCUACUAAGCUGUAACUGACAUUGAGGCUCGAAAGUGUGGGUAUCAAACAGGAUUAGAUACCCUGGUAGUCCACACGGUAAACGAUGAAUACUCGCUGUUGGCGAUAUACUGUCAGCGGCCAAGCGAAAGCAUUAAGUAUUCCACCUGGGGAGUACGCCGGCAACGGUGAAACUCAAAGGAAUUGACGGGGGCCCGCACAAGCGGAGGAACAUGUGGUUUAAUUCGAUGAUACGCGAGGAACCUUACCCGGGCUUAAAUUGCACUGGACAGUUUUGGAAACAAGACCUUCUUCGGACCAGUGUGAAGGUGCUGCAUGGUUGUCGUCAGCUCGUGCCGUGAGGUGUCGGCUUAAGUGCCAUAACGAGCGUAACCCUUGUGACCAGUUGCUAGCAGGUAAUGCUGAGGACUCUGGUCAGACUGCCAUCGUAAGAUGUGAGGAAGGUGGGGAUGACGUCAAAUCAGCACGGCCCUUACGUCCGGGGCUACACACGUGUUACAAUGGGGGGUACAGCAGGCUGCUACCGGGCGACCGGAUGCCAAUCCCGAAAACCCCUCUCAGUUCGGACUGGAGUCUGCAACCCGACUCCACGAAGCUGGAUUCGCUAGUAAUCGCGCAUCAGCCACGGCGCGGUGAAUACGUUCCCGGGCCUUGUACACACCGCCCGUCAAGCCAUGGGAGCCGGGGGUACCUGAAGUACGUAACCGCAAGGAGCGUCCUAGGGUAAAACUGGUGACUGGGGCUAAGUCGUAACAAGGUAGCCGUAAAU
rnacentral:rRNA from 1 species